CUGUGAGCCUGGUUCCUCCUCUCUGUGAUGGGCUUGCAACUCCUGCUUACCUCUCGCUGGGGCCAGAGGAUGAGCGUAUCACUGCGAUGCAUAGAAUGUGAUGAUGGUGAUCACUGCAGAUCAGCAUUUCAGUUGACCAGGACAGUGUCCGUCAUGGUCCAGCGAUCAAGGGCAAGCCCCCCCCCCCCCCGCCCACAUCUUCUCCUCCUGCCUCCUCUAGGAUUGCUGCAAACACUUUCACAGGGUUGACGGGCAGUUGCUGGAACUUUACAUACCGGGCUGUGGGCCUGUGGUGGCGGAUGUGUGUUCAUGUGUACCUGAGGAGGCCACUGGUGUCGAUCUCAUUGCUGCGGGUGCCUCUCCUUCAUCUGUUCCUACUGAGCUGGACCCAGCCAGGAGUCCAAAGCACCGCCCCCAUAGCUGCCUCUCCUCCCUGCCUGCUGCCUCUGCUUCCAGAUCCCAACAAUAAAAUUGCUUUCCUGAAACUGA